rnacentral:lncRNA from 1 species
GUGCAUCUAUCAAUGUUCGAAGCCAAUAAAAGUAGAGGCCGAUCUUGUUGCGUGAAAUCUCGAUGUGUGAGUGCUCGGUGGAAUCAAAUAAAGUUGGAUUCUGCUCUCCUCUAUGGCUAGUCGUGCCAACUUUAUUCGAAUGCUUGAAGGAAACCAUACCACCGACAUCACAUUUCUUUUCUCAAACACUAUGCCAAACAUGAC